rnacentral:rRNA from 1 species
UCGAGGAUCUUCGGCAAUGGGCGCAAGCCUGACCGAGCGACGCCGCGUGCGCGAUGAAGGCCUUCGGGUUGUAAAGCGCUGUCGAGGGGGAGGAAAGCCGCAAGGUCUGACCUAUCCCUGGAGGAAGCACGGGCUAAGUUCGUGCCAGCAGCCGCGGUAAGACGAACCGUGCGAACGUUGUUCGGAAUCACUGGGCUUAAAGGGCGCGUAGGCGGACCCACCAGUCCGGGGUGAAAUCUUUCGGCUUAACCGGAAAACAGCCUUGGAUACUGUGGGUCUCGAGCGAGGUAGGGGCAGCUGGAACUUCCGGUGGAGCGGUGAAAUGCGUUGAUAUCGGAAGGAACGCCGGUGGCGAAAGCGAGCUGCUGGACCUUUUCUGACGCUGAGGCGCGAAAGCCAGGGGAGCAAACGGGAUUAGAUACCCCCGUAGUCC